CAUAAACUAUACCAAAAGCGUCAAACACUUUGUUCAAGUGACAUUACACCAAGGAUCAAAACCUUGACCUUGUUCUGUUUUGAUGUGUAAGGGCCACAUAUAUCGUCUGGAAUGCUCAACAUAUGACAUGAAUGAAUCAUCAUCCUUUGCAUUGAACCAUUCAGGCCUUCAGAAAUCAAGUGUUGGACAUCAUAAAUAUAUAUCAACUUCCAUAAAUUCCUUCAACUCAUGAAAUGGACAAGUGGAUAUGUGCUCCCUGAUAUGUACGUGCUAGGAAUAUGUCGAGGAUCUAGUUGUAGGGCAGGGGUAUUUUGGUGCGCCUAUUAUAAUUUGGGCACUUAAUUAAGCGCUCUCCUAAUAAGAAUAAUAAAGAGAACACAAUGUUUCAUACUGCAUACCAACACCACUAUUUCGUCUCGGUGACAAAUAUAUAUCUUUUGAUGAAGACAUAUAUAUAUAUAUAUACACACACACACCUUAUUAGGACCGGACCAGGCCUACCAAAGGAACAACACUAUCUCUUCUCGAACUUCAAAGCAUGUCCAACUUUUCCAUACAUUACCUCAUCAGCAACCCCAUGCGUGCAGAACGCAACGCGGCCAAUCCCCAAUGUGUCAAUUAUUGGAGGCCGCCCAUGAAAUAUAUAUCGUUUACAAGAAAAUAGCCCGGGCGACCUACUAGCUAGCUAACGAUGUUACAAUUGUGUAGCGUAUGAACAAGCAAGCUAGACAAAGAAAAGUGAUUGCGUGUACCAGUGAGCAAUGAGCGUAGUACCGUAGCUAGAUCGAUUGGGAAAGGGACAGCGGGCAGGAGCUAGCAUCGAUCACUGAUCAGGCCUAGUUCUACAAAAAAACAAAAAAAAUUUCAAGAUUCUUCGUCGCAUCGAAUCUUACGGCAUAUGCAUAAAGCAUUAAAUAUACAUAAAAACAAUAAUUAAUUGCACAGUUUGCCUAUAAUUUACGAGACAGAUCUUUUAAGGCUAACUAGUUUAUAAUUAGAUAAUAAUUGCUAAAUACAAACGAAAGUACUACACUACCAAAAAAAAUUUUACCCUAACAACUAAAAUUUUACCUUAGGCCUUGUUUAGUUACAAUUUUUUUAAAAAAAAUAAGCACUGUAGUACUUUCGUUUGUAUGUGACAAAUAUUGUCCAACCAUAUACUACAAAAAAUUCAUCUCACAAAUUACAUAAGUUUUUGUUCUCGUCUAUGAGGAACUAAACAAGGCCUAACAACUGAACAAGGCCUCAGCCGCGAAGCAUAUGCUGCAGCGCGCAGGUGCAUUAUUGGCGAUUGGGCCGGGAUGAAUUGAAGCACGCAUGCAUGCAUGGCUACAUACGUCGGGUGCCGCCAAACGAAGCUGUCCCUCUCUCCCAUCUUGGAUCGCUAGCUAGCUCUCUCGAUCUAUAUAUGCAGGAUCAAUCUUGGAGCAGCAGUGUGAGCAGUGUGUACUACAGUCCCGCCGGCCCAAUGCACAUGUUAGAUGAUGAGUCUCUGCUGGCACGUCGUCGAUCGAUCUACGACAGGAUCGGACCAUCACAUUCACUGAUUAAUUCACAUAUAUAUAUAGGAGCGCAGCAUGCGUACACAAAUCCAAUUAAUCAUGCACCACCA
rnacentral:lncRNA from 1 species